AACGAACGCUGGCGGCAUGCCUAACACAUGCAAGUCGAACGAGACCUUCGGGUCUAGUGGCGCCUGGGUGCGUCACGCGUGGGAACCUGCCCUUAGGUUCGGAAUAACUCUCCGAAAGGGGUGCUAAUACCGGAUCAUGUCUUCGGACCAAAGAUUUAUUGCCUUUGGUUGGGCCCGCGUUGGAUUAGCUUGUUGGUAGGGUAAAAGCCUACCAAGGCGCCGAUCCCUAGCUGGUUUGAGAGGAUGAUUAGCCACCCUGGGACUGGGACACGGCCGAGACUCCUACGGGAUGCACCAGUGGGUAAUGUUGCACAACGGGGGGAGGCAUGAACCACUAAUGCCGCGUAAAUUAUGAAAUCCGUAAGGUUGUAAAGCGCUUUUACCCGGGAUGAUAAUGACAGUACCGGGAGAAUAAGCUCCGGCUAACUCCGUG
rnacentral:rRNA from 1 species